rnacentral:tRNA from 1 species
GGGCCCUUGGCACAGUUGGUAGCGCGCACGCUUCGCAUCGUUAUGGAUAGAUUGCGUGAGGUCGUGGGUUCAACUCCCACAGUGUCCA